GGAAGUAUAAGUCGUAACAAGGUUUCCGUAGGUGAACCUGCGGAAGGAUCAUUACUGAGUGAGGGCCCCUCGGGGUCCAACCUCCCACCCGUGUUUAACGAACCUUGUUGCUUCGGCGGGCCCGCCUCACGGCCGCCGGGGGGCAUCCGCCCCCGGGCCCGAGCCCGCCGAAGCCACCUGUGGACGCUGUCUGAAGUAUGCAGUCUGAGACAAUUAUUAAAUUAAUUAAAACUUUCAACAACGGAUCUCUUGGUUCCG
rnacentral:misc_RNA from 1 species